GAUGAACGCUAGCGGCAGGCUUAAUACAUGCAAGUCGUGGGGCAGCAGGACGGUAGCAAUACCGUUGCUGGCGACCGGCAAACGGGUGCGGAACACGUACACAACCUUCCUUUAAGUGGGGAAUAGCCCGGGGAAACCCGGAUUAAUACCUCGUAACAUAAUGAAGUGGCAUCACUUUAUUAUUAUAGCAGCAAUGCGCUUGAUGAUGGGUGUGCGCCUGAUUAGGUAGUUGGCGGGGUAACGGCCCACCAAGCCUUCGAUCAGUAACUGGUGUGAGAGCACGACCAGUCACACGGGCACUGAGACACGGGCCCGACUCCUACGGGAGGCAGCAGUAAAGAAUAUUGGUCAAUGGACGCAAGUCUGAACCAGCCAUGCCGCGUGGAGGAUGAAGGUCCUCUGGAUUGUAAACUUCUUUUAUCUGGGAAGAAAUCCAUAUUUUCUAAUGUGGUUGACGGUACCAGACGAAUAAGCACCGGCUAACUCCGUGCCAGCAGCCG
rnacentral:rRNA from 1 species